UGGCGGACGGGUGAGUAACGCGUGGGUAACCUGCCCUAUACAGGGGGAUAACAACCAGAAAUGGUUGCUAAUACCGCAUAAGCGCACAGGACCGCAUGGUCCGGUGUGAAAAACUCCGGUGGUAUAGGAUGGACCCGCGUUGGAUUAGCCAGUUGGCAGGGUAACGGCCUACCAAAGCGACGAUCCAUAGCCGGCCUGAGAAGGUGAACGGCCACAUUGGGACUGAGACACGGCCCAG
rnacentral:rRNA from 1 species